rnacentral:rRNA from 1 species
GGUGGAUUAGUGGCGAACGGGUGAGUAACACGUGAGUAACCUGCCCUUAACUCUGGGAUAAGCCUGGGAAACUGGGUCUAAUACCGGAUAUGACCUUCCAUCGCAUGGUGGUUGGUGGAAAGCUUUUUGUGGUUUUGGAUGGACUCGCGGCCUAUCAGCUUGUUGGUGAGGUAAUGGCUUACCAAGGCGACGACGGGUAGCCGGCCUGAGAGGGUGACCGGCCACACUGGGACUGAGACACGGCCCAGACUCCUACGGGAGGCAGCAGUGGGGAAUAUUGCACAAUGGGCGCAAGCCUGAUGCAGCGACGCCGCGUGAGGGAUGACGGCCUUCGGGUUGUAAACCUCUUUCAGUAGGGAAGAAGCGAAAGUGACGGUACCUGCAGAAGAAGCGCCGGCUAACUACGUGCCAGCAGCCGCGGUAAUACGUAGGGCGCAAGCGUUAUCCGGAAUUAUUGGGCGUAAAGAGCUCGUAGGCGGUUUGUCGCGUCUGCCGUGAAAGUCCGGGGCUCAACUCCGGAUCUGCGGUGGGUACGGGCAGACUAGAGUGAUGUAGGGGAGACUGGAAUUCCUGGUGUAGCGGUGAAAUGCGCAGAUAUCAGGAGGAACACCGAUGGCGAAGGCAGGUCUCUGGGCAUUAACUGACGCUGAGGAGCGAAAGCAUGGGGAGCGAACAGGAUUAGAUACCCUGGUAGUCCAUGCCGUAAACGUUGGGCACUAGGUGUGGGGGACAUUCCACGUUUUCCGCGCCGUAGCUAACGCAUUAAGUGCCCCGCCUGGGGAGUACGGCCGCAAGGCUAAAACUCAAAGGAAUUGACGGGGGCCCGCACAAGCGGCGGAGCAUGCGGAUUAAUUCGAUGCAACGCGAAGAACCUUACCAAGGCUUGACAUGGACUGGAAAUACCUGGAAACAGGUGCCCCGCUUGCGGCCGGUUCACAGGUGGUGCAUGGUUGUCGUCAGCUCGUGUCGUGAGAUGUUGGGUUAAGUCCCGCAACGAGCGCAACCCUCGUUCUAUGUUGCCAGCACGUGAUGGUGGGGACUCAUAGGAGACUGCCGGGGUCAACUCGGAGGAAGGUGGGGACGACGUCAAAUCAUCAUGCCCCUUAUGUCUUGGGCUUCACGCAUGCUACAAUGGCCGGUACAAAGGGUUGCGAUACUGUGAGGUGGAGCUAAUCCCAAAAAGCCGGUCUCAGUUCGGAUUGGGGUCUGCAACUCGACCCCAUGAAGUCGGAGUCGCUAGUAAUCGCAGAUCAGCAACGCUGCGGUGAAUACGUUCCCGGGCCUUGUACACACCGCCCGUCAAGUCACGAAAGUUGGUAACACCCGAAGCCGGUGGCCUAACCCC